GCUAUACAUGCAGUCGAGCGAAUGGAUUAAGAGCUUGCUCUUAUGAAGUUAGCGGCGGACGGGUGAGUAACACGUGGGUAACCUGCCCAUAAGACUGGGAUAACUCCGGGAAACCGGGGCUAAUACCGGAUAACAUUUUGAACCGCAGGGAUCGUAAUUGCAAGGCGGCUUCGGCUGUCCCUUAUGGAUGGACCCGCGUCGCAUUAGCUAGUUGGUGAGGUAACGGCUCACCAAGGCGACCAUGCGUAGCCGACCUGAGAGGGUGAUCGGACACACUGGGACUGAGACACGGCCCAGACUCCUACGGGAGGCAGCAGUAGGGAAUCUUCCGCAAUGGACGAAAUUCCGACGGAGCGACGCCGCGUGAGUGAUGAAGGCUUUCGGGUCGUUAAACUCUGUUGCUAGGGAAUAACAACUGCUAGUUGAAUAAGCUGGCACCUUGACGGUACCUAACCAGAAAGCCACGGCUAACUACGUGCCAGCAACCGCGGUAAUACGUAGGUGGCUAGCGGUAUCCGGAAUUAUUGGGCGUAAAGCGCGCGCAGGUGGUUUCUUAAGUCUGAUGUGAAAGCCCACGGGUCAACCGUGGAGGGUCAUUGGAAACUGGGAGACUUGAGUGCAGAAGAGGAAAGUGGAAUUCCAUGUGUAGCGGUGAAAUGCGUACAGAUAUGGAGGAACAACAGUGGCGAACGCGACUGUCUGGGCUGUAACUGACACUGAGGCGCGAAAGCGUGUGGAGCACACAGGAUUACAUACCCUGGUAGACCACGCCGUAAACGAUGAGUGCUAAGUGAUAUAGGGUUUCCGCCCAUUAGUGCUGAAGUUAACGCAUUAAGCACUCCGCCUGGGGAGUACAGCCGCAAGGCUGAAACUCGAACGAAUUGACCGGUGCCCGC
rnacentral:rRNA from 1 species